rnacentral:lncRNA from 1 species
AUUUUAGAAUUUGAUCAUGGUUUGAUCUAAUUACGAUUUAUUAUAAAUUCUAUGGGUUAAAUUAAUAUGCUAGCACAUGAAUUAGUCCAAGUUUCCAAUUAGGUUUAGUUCAAAGUUGUUUGAUCUAACCCUAUCCUGAUGCCUUGAAUCUAAUUGGAUUAGGUUUGAACCUUUGGACAUUAAAGUGGCUUGAUUAAUUAGUUUGAAAGAGUUUCAUCUUAAUCCAACCACCUCUUCACUUCUCCAUGCCAUUUAUUCCACACCAUUUAAUAUUGUCACCCAUAAUAAGUAGCGGCC